rnacentral:rRNA from 1 species
UGAUCAGGUUGAUAGGUCAGAGGUGGAAGCGUGGCGACAUGUGUAGCUGACUGAUACUAAUCGAUCGAGGACUUAACCAAA